rnacentral:rRNA from 1 species
UGGAGAGUUUGAUCCUGGCUCAGGACGAACGCUGGCGGCGUGCUUAACACAUGCAAGUCGAACGGAAAGGCCCCUUCGGGGGUACUCGAGUGGCGAACGGGUGAGUAACACGUGGGUGAUCUGCCCUGCACUUCGGGAUAAGCCUGGGAAACUGGGUCUAAUACCGGAUAGGACCACGGGAUGCAUGUCCUGUGGUGGAAAGCUUUUGCGGUGUGGGAUGGGCCCGCGGCCUAUCAGCUUGUUGGUGGGGUGACGGCCUACCAAGGCGACGACGGGUAGCCGGCCUGAGAGGGUGUCCGGCCACACUGGGACUGAGAUACGGCCCAGACUCCUACGGGAGGCAGCAGUGGGGAAUAUUGCACAAUGGGCGCAAGCCUGAUGCAGCGACGCCGCGUGGGGGAUGGCGGCCUUCGGGUUGUAAACCUCUUUCACCAUCGACGAAGGUCCGGGUUUCUCGGAUUGACGGUAGGUGGAGAAGAAGCACCGGCCAACUACGUGCCAGCAGCCGCGGUA